rnacentral:rRNA from 1 species
GACGAACGCUGGCGGCGUGCUUAACACAUGCCAGUCGAACGGAAAGGCCUGCUUUCCCUUGUGGAUUGCGGGUACUCGAGUGGCGAACGGGUGAGUAACACGUGAGUGAUCUGCCCCCAACUUGGGUAUAAGCCUGGGAAACUGGGUCUAAUUCCCGAUAGGACUGCAGGGUGGUGCCUGUGGUGGAAAACGUUCUUCUAGUGGUUGGGGAUGAGCUCGCGGCCUAUCAGCUUGUUGGUGGGGUAAUGUCCUACCAAGGCGGCGACGGGUAGCCGGGCUGGGAGGGUAGAAGGGCAACUUGGGAAUGGGCGACGGCCCAGAGUCAGACGGGAGGCAGCAGUGGGGAAUAUUGCACAAGGGGCGGACGCAGGAUGCAGCGACGCCGCGUGGGGGAUGACGGCCUUCGGGUUGUAACUACUUUCGACCGCGAGGAAGCCACCUGGUUGGAAGGGUGGUGACGGUAGUGGUAGAAGAAGCACCGGCUAACUACGUG